CACGUAGGCAGUCUUUGUAGUUGAACGGUGAAAGCCCAAAGCUUGACUUUGGAAGAACUCUCAAUACCUAAAGACUAGAGUCUGAAAGAGGAGGGUAGAAUUUCUCAUGGAAGGGUAAAAUCUUUAGAUAUGAGAAGGAAUACCGAAAGCGAAGGCAGCCCUCUGGUUCAGUACUGACGCUGAGGUGUGAAGGCAUGGGGAGCAACCGG
rnacentral:rRNA from 1 species